AGUCGAGCGAAUGACGAAGAAGCUUGCUUCUUCUGAUUUAGCGGCGGACGGGUGAGUAACACGUGGGCAACCUGCCCUGUAGAUUGGGAUAACUCCGGGAAACCGGGGCUAAUACCGAAUAAUCCAUUUCCUCWCAUGGGGAGAUGUUAAAAGACGGNUUCNNC
rnacentral:rRNA from 1 species